rnacentral:rRNA from 1 species
UACGUAGGGGGCAAGCGUUGUCCGGAAUCAUUGGGCGUAAAGCGCGCGUAGGCGGCCAGAUAAGUCCGGUGUGAAAGUCACAGGCUCAACCUGUGAAUGCCGCUGGAAACUGUCUGGCUUGAGUCCGGAAGGGGCGAGUGGAAUUCCUGGUGUAGCGGUGAAAUGCGCAGAUAUCAGGAGGAACACCAAUGGCGAAGGCAGCUCGCUGGAACGGUACUGACGCUGAGGCGCGAAGGCGUGGGGAGCAAACAGG